UUAGGGGGUGGGUACAGGAGGCGUUAUGGGGUUCAUCAGGUAUAGGGGGGUGGGGUAAGGAGGCGUUAUGGGGUUACAUUAGGGUGGGUAGGAGGCGUUAUGGGGUUACAUAGGGGUGGUACAGGAGGGUUAUGGGUUACAUAGGGGGUGGGUUUACAGGAGGCGUUAUGGGGUUACAUAGGGGGUGGGUACAGGAGGCGUUAUGGGGUUACAUAGGGGGAUGGGUACAGGAGGCGUUAUGGGGUUACAUAGGGGAUGGGUACAGGAGGCGUUAUAGGGUUACAUAGGGGAUGGGUACAUGAGGGGCGUUAUAGGGUUACAUAGGGAUUGGCUACGGAUGCGUUAUAUGGGGUACAUAGGGGAUGGCUACAGGUG
rnacentral:lncRNA from 1 species